rnacentral:rRNA from 1 species
GGGGAAUAUUGGACAAUGGGGGCAACCCUGAUCCAGCAAUGCCGCGUGUGUGAAGAAGGUCUUCGGAUUGUAAAGCACUUUCGACGGGGACGAUGAUGACGGUACCCGUAGAAGAAGCCCCGGCUAACUUCGUGCCAGCAGCCGCGGUAAUACGAAGGGGGCUAGCGUUGCUCGGAAUGACUGGGCGUAAAGGGCGUGUAGGCGGUUUACACAGUCAGAUGUGAAAUCCCCGGGCUUAACCUGGGAGCUGCAUUUGAUACGUGUAGACUAGAGUGUGAGAGAGGGUUGUGGAAUUCCCAGUGUAGAGGUGAAAUUCGUAGAUAUUGGGAAGAACACCGGUGGCGAAGGCGGCAACCUGGCUCAUGACUGACGCUGAGGCGCGAAAGCGUGGGGAGCAAACAGGAUUAGAUACCCUGGUAGUCCACGCUGUAAACGAUGUGUGCUAGAUGUUGGGUACUUUGUU